AUUGAACGCUGGCGGCAUGCUUUACACAUGCAAGUCGAACGGUAACAGGCCGCAAGGUGCUGACGAGUGGCGAACGGGUGAGUAAUGCAUCGGAACGUGCCCAAUCGUGGGGGAUAACGCAGCGAAAGCUGUGCUAAUACCGCAUACGAUCUACGGAUGAAAGCAGGGGAUUCGCAAGGACCUUGCGCUCAUGGAGCGGCCGAUGGCAGAUUAGGUAGUUGGUGGGAUAAAAGCUUACCAAGCCGACGAUCUGUAGCUGGUCUGAGAGGACGACCAGCCACACUGGGACUGAGACACGGCCCAGACUCCUACGGGAGGCAGCAGUGGGGAAUUUUGGACAAUGGACGCAAGUCUGAUCCAGCAAUGCCGCGUGCAGGACGAAGGCCCUUCGGUUGUUAACGUGUCUUUUGUUACGGUACGAAAGACCUUCUUCUUAAUACAGGAGGGUCGAUGACGGUACCGUAAGAAUAAGACACCGCCUAACUACGUCGCCACG
rnacentral:rRNA from 1 species